AAAACGGUCCUUUUCAGGACCACCAAUCACAGCGCAGAACACACAA
rfam:Acyrthosiphon pisum strain LSR1 Contig26641, whole genome shotgun sequence.